UAAUACGGAGGGUCCGAGCGUUGUCCGGAAUUAUUGGGUUUAAAGGGUGCGUAGGCGGUUUAAUAAGUCAGAGCUGAAAUCCCAGGGCUUAACCCUGGAACUGGCUUUGAUACUGUUAGACUUGAAUAUACUAGAGGUAGGCGGAAUUUAUGAUGUAGCGGUGAAAUGCAUAGAUAUCAUAAAGAACACCGAUAGCGAAGGCAGCUUACUGGAGUAUUAUUGACGCUGAGGCACGAAAGCGUGGGUAGCGAACAGGAUUAGAUACCCUGGUAGUCCACGCCGUAAACGAUGUUCACUCGCUGUGUGCGAUAUACUGUACGCGGCCAAGCGAAAGCAUUAAGUGAACCACCUGGGGAGUACGUUCGCAAGGAUG
rnacentral:rRNA from 1 species